UACGAAGGGGGCUAGCGUUGCUCGGAAUCACUGGGCGUAAAGCGCACGUAGGCGGCUUAUUAAGUCAGAGGUGAAAUCCUGGAGCUCAACUCCAGAACUGCCUUUGAUACUGAUGAGCUUGAGUUCGGGAGAGGUGAGUGGAACUGCGAGUGUAGAGGUGAAAUUCGUAGAUAUUCGCAAGAACACCAGUGGCGAAGGCGGCCUGCUGGGCAGUUGCUGACGCUGAGGCGCGACAGCGUGGGGAGCAAACAGG
rnacentral:rRNA from 1 species